UGGACCGCAGAGACGGGCGCACGGUGGAUGCCUAGGCGCCGCGGGCCGAGGAAGGGCGUGGCCACGCGACGAAACGCCCCGGGGAGGCGCUGGCAGCCGGCGAUCCGGGGGUACCCGAAUGGGGCAACCCGCCGGGGGUGAUACCCCGGCACCCUCUAUAUGAGGGAGGGCACCCGGGGAACUGAAACAUCUCAGUACCCGGAGGAAGCGAGAGGAUUCCCCUAGUAGCGGCGAGCGAACGGGGAGGAGCCCAAACCCUGUCGGCGGCAGAGGCUGUCGCCGGUGCCGACGGGGGGUAGGACGGGGAGCGCGGAGGGGACGACAGGCCCUUCGCCCCAGAUUGCCAGUCAACCGAAGGCCGCUGGAACGGGCCACCGGAGGGGGUGAGAGUCCCGUAGGUGACGGCUGGUGGAUCGGGGUGGCGUUCUUGCGUGAGUACCGCCGGACACGCGGAAUCCGGCGGGAAGCGGGGUGGACCACCACCCAAGGCUAAAUACCCGCGGCGACCGAUAGCGAACCAGUACCGUGAGGGAACGGUGAAAAGCACCCCGGCGAGGGGAGUGAAAGAGAUCCUGAAACCGUGCGCCCACGGCCGGUCGGAGCCAGGCGUGACCUGGUGACGGCGUGCCUUUUGUAGAAUGAGCCGACGAGUGACGCUGGGUGGCGAGGCUAAGCCGUGAUCCAGGCGGAGCCGGAGCGAACGCGAGUCCGAAAGGGCGAUGACGGGCAACCGUCGAAGUCGCGCGGCGUCGACCCGAAACCGGGUGAGCCACCCAUGGGCAGGCUGAAGCGGGCGGAACACGCCCGUGGAGGGCCGAACCCGGACACGUUGCAAAGUGUCGGGAUGACCUGUGGGUAGGGGUGAAAUGCCAAGCGAACCCGGAGAUAGCUGGUUCUCCCCGAAAUGCAUUUAGGUGCAGCCCUGGCGGGAGGCCGUCCCGGAGGUAGCGCGCUGGAUCGGCGAGGGGGCUUCCCGCUUACCGACCCGAACCAAACGCCGAAUGCCGGGAGGGUGCGCUGGGAGUGAGACAGUGGGAGCUAAGUUCCAUUGUCGAGAGGGAAACAGCCCAGACCGCCGGCUAAGGUCCCGAAGUCUGGACUAAGU
rnacentral:rRNA from 1 species